GCAAGUCGAACGGAAACGCGAAGAGCUUGCUCUUUGGCGUCGAGUGGCGGACGGGUGAGUAACGCGUGGGAAUCUACCCAGUAGUGGGGGAUAGCCAGGAGAAAUCCUGAUUAAUACCGCAUACGAUCUACGGAUGAAAGGUGGCCACUCCUUGGAAGCUAUCGCUAUUGGGUGAGCCCGCGUUAGAUUAGCUAGUUGGUGGGGUAAAGGCCUACCAAGGCGACGAUCUAUAGCUGGUCUGAGAGGACGACCAGCCACAUCGGGACUGAGACACGGCCCGGACUCCUACGGGAGGCAGCAGUGGGGAAUAUUGGACAAUGGGCGCAAGCCUGAUCCAGCAAUGCCGCGUGUGUGAAGAAGGCCUGAGGGUUGUAAAGCACUUUCAAUUGUGAAGAAGGGUAUAAGAUUAAUACUCUUGUACUUUGACGUUAACUUUAGAAGAAGCACCGGCUAACUCUGUGCCAGCAGCCGCGGUAAUACAGAGGGUGCAAGCGUUAGUCGGAAUUACUGGGCGUAAAGCGCGCGUAGGCGGUUAUUAAGUAG
rnacentral:rRNA from 1 species